UAGCUGGUGUAACAGGUGUGAUCCACCAUACUCAGCUGAUGUUUUAAAAUAUAACUUAUAAAUUAUGCUUGAGAUUUUUUUUUUUUUUUGGCCAGUCCUGGGGCUUGGACUCAGGGCCUGAGCACUGUCCCUGGCUUCCUUUUGCUCAAGGCUAGCACUCUGCCACUUGAGCCACAGCGCCACU